AUUGAACGCUGGCGGCAUGCUUUACACAUGCAAGUCGAACGGCAGCGCGGGGGCAACCCUGGCGGCGAGUGGCGAACGGGUGAGUAAUGUAUCGGAACGUAUCCUGUAAUGGGGGAUAACCAGUCGAAAGAUUGGGUAAUACCGCAUACGCACGAGAGUGGAAAGUAGGGGAUCGCAAGACCUUACGUUAUAGGAGCGGCCGAUAUCUGAUUAGCUAGUUGGUGGGGUAAAGGCCUACCAAGGCGACGAUCAGUAGCUGGUCUGAGAGGAUGAUCAGCCACACUGGGACUGAGACACGGCCCAGACUCCUACGGGAGGCAGCAGUGGGGAAUUUUGGACAAUGGGCGAAAGCCUGAUCCAGCCAUGCCGCGUGCGGGAAGAAGGCCUCGGUGUAACCGCUUAGUCUA
rnacentral:rRNA from 1 species